rnacentral:lncRNA from 1 species
CAAAAUAUGUAAAAUAUUACAACGUAAUGAUGGCAUAUAUACUUAUACAUCUUAACAGAAUCAAAUCAACCAAACAAAAUUUGAAAUACACACAAAGCUAGGACAUCCACGUUUCUUAAUGUUCUUUUAUAUACUUUACUUUCUCAAAUGUUUCUCAAAAAUUUGACAAUAUAUUACAGUUCGUCGCCAUUUUUAUAACUGUACAUUUACAACUCAAAUAGAAACCUUUUUGACAAUCCACGUAUAUACUCCAUUGGUAACCAUCAACGACAAGUACUACAACUAGUGUUAUCAGGGAGUACUUUCACUUGAAAUCCGUGACAAUAUAACAAAUGUUCGUCCAAUAGAGAUUGUGAGUGAAAAUAACAACCACACUGAGAACAAACACACGUUAUGCCUACAUCACUUACAAACGUGUCCAUUUUGGAGCUGUCUGGUUUUCCUUUAGUAUGCAUGCAUUGUUUAUACACGUUGGAAUUAUCAUAUUCUUUUUUACAUAUGUUCGUUUCGAUACAAUGAUGCUUUUCCAGCAAAUUUAUGGAGUUAAAACAUGAACUACAUUGUGAACAUACAAAGGUAGUAUCAGAACAUUCCUGAGAUGAUUCCAGUUCAUUGUCGUUACUUUGGUUGUGGUUUU